GCUGGGCAUGGUGGUGCGUGCCUGUUAUUCCAGCUACUCGGAGGCUGAGGCUGGAGAAUCGCUUGAGUCCAGGAGUUCUGGGCUGCUGUGCGCUAUGCCAAUUGGGUGUCCGCACUAAGUUCGGCAUCAAUAUGGUGACCUCCCAGGAGCGGGGGACCACCAGGUUACCUAAGGAGGGGUGAACUGGCCCAGGUUGGAAACAGAGCAGGUCAAAACUCCUGUGCUGAUCAGUAGUGGGAUCCCACCUGUGAAUAGCCACUGUACUCCUACCUGGGCAAGAUGGCGACACCCUGUCUCUU
ensembl:misc_RNA Metazoa_SRP Metazoan signal recognition particle RNA